rnacentral:rRNA from 1 species
AGAGAUUUGGGAGUGCUCGAAAGAGAACCGGCGCACAGGUGCUGCAUGGCUGUCGUCAGCUCGUGUCGUGAGAUGUUGGGUUAAGUCCCGCAACGAGCGCAACCCUUGUCAUUAGUUGCUACGAAAGGGCACUCUAAUGAGACUGCCGGUGACAAACCGGAGGAAGGUGGGGAUGACGUCAAGUCCUCAUGGCCCUUAUGGGUAGGGCUUCACACGUCAUACAAUGGUACAUACAGAGGGCCGCCAACCCGCGAGGGGGAGCUAAUCCCAGAAAGUGUAUCGUAGUCCGGAUUGGAGUCUGCAACUCGACUCCAUGAAGUUGGAAUCGCUAGUAAUCGCGGAUCAGCAUGUCGCGGUGAAUACGUUCCCGGGUCUUGUACACACCGCCCGUCACACCAUGGGAGCGGGUUUUACCAGAAGUGG